AACCGCCGUAUACGGAUCCGUACGUACGGUGGUGUGAGAGGUCGGGAGCUUCGCUCCCUCCUACUCGAU
rnacentral:ncRNA from 1 species